rnacentral:lncRNA from 1 species
AUGGACUACGACAUUAUUCCCACAGGCAUUCCCUCAGCUGUUCCCACAGGUAUUCCCACAGGUAUGCUCACAGGUAUCCUCACAGGUAUGCUCACAGCUAUUCCAACAGAUAUUCCCACAGGUAUUCUCACAGGUCUCCUCAUACGUAUUCCCACAGGUAUUCCCACAGGUAUUCCCACAGGUAUUCUUACAGGCGUUCCUGUAGGUACUCCCUCAGGUAUUCCCACAUACUUUCCACAAGUAUUCCCACCGAUGUUUCCUCAGGUGUUCGUUUAGCUUCUCUUCACGAAGAGGCUGGUUCACUGGAUUAUUAACGCACUUAGGUCUUCCUUCAGCAGGUAGUAAAUGUCUAUGCCACAGACCGGUUCUUAUGCAGCCUGUGACUUCAAACUGUCUGCUGUCAAUGUCACAUCCCGAAAGAGAUGGGCAGUUUUCCCCAGAACUCCCCUGAGGAAUUGGCUCUUGCUGAGGCUCACGUGAUGUUUUCUUACGAGAACCCACAGUGAAAUUCUUCUCAGACCACCAAGCCCGAACAACUCCCCUUGAGGAAACUGGGUAGUUUUCGUUUCUCUUUUUUUUUUUUUUUAAAACAUUUAUUUGGUUUUGAGAGACAGAGCACAAGUGGGGGAGGGGCAGAGACAGAGGGAGACACAGAACCGGAAGCGGGCUCCAGGCUCCGGGCCGUCAGCACAGAGCCCGACGCGGGGCUCGAACCCACCCACAGCGAGAUCGUGACCUGAGUCGAAGUCGGACACUCAACCGACUGAGCCCCCCAGGCGCCCCUCCUUUCUCUCUUUUUUUUUUUUAAAAAAAACCAUUUAUUUGGUUUCGAGAGACAGAGCACAAGUGGGGGAGGGGCAGAGACAGAGAGGGAGACACAGAACCGGAAGCGGGCUCCAGGCUCCGGGCCGUCAGCACAGAGCCCGACGCGGGGCUCGAACCCACCCACAGCGAGAUCGUGACCUGAGUCGAAGUCGGACACUCAACCGACUGAGCCCCCCAGGCGCCCCUCCUUUCUCUCUUUUUUUAAAAAAAACAUUUAUUUGGUUUCGAGAGACAGAGCACAAGUGGGGGAGGGGCAGAGACAGAGAGGGAGACACAGAACCGGAAGCGGGCUCCAGGCUCCGAGCCGUCAGCACAGAGCCCGACGCGGGGCUCGAACCCACCCACCGCGAGAUCGUGACCCGAGCCGAAGUGGGACGCUCAACCGACCGAGCCCCCCAGGCGCCCGGCAACUAGGUAGUGUUCUCCCCGGUUUCCACUCAGUGUCGUCCUG